rnacentral:rRNA from 1 species
UACGAAGGGGGGCUAGCGUUGCUCGGAUUGACUGGGCGUAAAGAGCGCGCAGGCGGUCGAUCAAGUCGAGUGUGAAAGCCCCCCGGCUCAACUGGGGAGGGUCAUUCGAUACUGAUCGACUCGAAGGCAGGAGAGGGUAGUGGAAUUCCCGGUGUAGUGGUGAAAUGCGUAGAUAUCGGGAGGAACACCAGUGGCGAAGGCGACUACCUGGCCUGUUCUUGACGCUGAGGCGCGAAAGCUAGGGGAGCAAACGGG